AAAUAUUUAUGUUUUGCAGAAAAUUGCACCACAAGCCUGCCUGUUUAGCCACCACACACCUCACUCCAGAAAAAGACUUCCUUAUCAAAUGUAUGCACACCUUCAAUGCAAUCUACAUUGGAAGGAGAAGACACUCAGGGAGACAUGUUGUAAGGCUACCUGUUUGUAGUUUCUCUGACUAUUUUUCAUCCAGGUUGUACAUUGAAAGCAGUUCAAUCAGUGCUAUUGGG